rnacentral:rRNA from 1 species
ACGGCCUCUAGUGCAGAUCUUGGUGGUAGUAGCAAGUAUACAAGAGAGAUCCUUGUAGACUGAAGUGGGGAAAGGUUUCGCGUGAACAGCAAUUGGACGCGAGUGAGUCGGUCCUAAGCAUGGCCUGAGAUGGUGGAAUGGAUGAUUGUUUGAAAGAUAUCAAUCCGCGUGCGAAAGGGAAUUGCGUUAAUAUUCGCAAACCAGAGGUUAGUGUUUAAUGCGGUAACGCUAGCGCUGUUUGGAGACGUUGGCGAGCAUCCCGGGAAGAGUUCUCUUUUCUUUUUAAUUCUUUCUUUAAUUAAUCACCCCGGAAGUCCUUUGCGGAGCGAGGGGGCGAUUGAAGAAGCAGAGCAGCCCAGUUUUGGGGUUGUCCGGUGCAUGUUCGACGGCCCGUGAAAAUCCAAAGGGCGGCAUCAUUUUGCCUCUGGCCGUACUGAUAACCGCAACAGGUCUCCAAGAUGAAAAGUCUCUAGUCAAUAGAAGAAUGUAGAUAAGGGAAGUCGGCAAGAUAGAUCCGUAACUUCGGGAAAAGGAUUGGCUCUGAGGGCUGGGCACGGGGGUCCCAGUCCCGAACCCGUCGGCUGUCGGUGGACUGCUCGAGCUGCUCCCGCGGCGAGAGCGGGUCGCCGCGUGCCGGCCGGGGGACAGAUUGGGAACGAUCGUUUCGGCGGUCUUCCCCGGGCGUCGAACAGUCGACUCAGAACUGGUACGGACAAGGGGAAUCCGACUGUUUAAUUAAAACAAAGCAUUGCGAUGGUCGGAAACGAUGUUGACGCAAUGUGAUUUCUGCCCAGUGCUCUGAAUGUCAUCGUGAAGUAAUUCAAAAAAGCGCGGGUAAACGGCGGGAGUAACUAUGACUCUCUUAAGGUAGCCAAAUGCCUCGUCAUCUAACUUGUGACGCGCAUGAAUGGAUUAACGAGAUUCCCACUGUCCCUAUUUACUAUCUAGCGAAGCCACAGCCAAGGGAACGGGCUUGGGAUAAUCAGCGGGGAAAGAAGACCCUGUUGAGCUUGACUCUAGUCCGAUCUUGUGAAAUGACUUAUGAGGUGUAGUAUAAGUGGGAGCCUUGGCGCACAUGAAAUACCACUACUCGUAAUGUUGUUUUACUUAACUCGUGACGUAGCGUCCGGCGCCUUCGCGGGCUCCGGUUCUGGACUUAAGCUUCGGCGAGCUACGCGGGUGACAAGAUCAGGUGGGGAGUUUGGCUGGGGCGGCACAUCUGUUAAAUGAUAACACAGGUGUCCUAAGGCAAGCUCAAAGAGAACAGAAAUCUCUUGUUGACCAGAAGGGGAAAAGCUUGCUUGAUUUUGAUUCUCAGUACGAAUACAAACUGUGAAAGCAUGGCCUA